rnacentral:misc_RNA from 1 species
AAAAAUCGCAGCCUUCGGCGGCGCCUACAGGACGAUGUAUUCAUCUGCAGGAGCCGCCGAAGGCUGCGAUCUUU